UCACUUUUGGAUGGUCCCGCGGCGUAUUAGCUAGAUGGUGGGGUAACGGCUCACCAUGGCAAUGAUACGUAGCCGACCUGAGAGGGUAAUCGGCCACAUUGGGACUGAGACACGGCCCAAACUCCUACGGGAGGCAGCAGUAGGGAAUCUUCCACAAUGGACGAAAGUCUGAUGGAGCAACGCCGCGUGAGUGAAGAAGGGUUUCGGCUCGUAAAACUCUGUUGUUAAAGAAGAACAUAUCUGAGAGUAACUGUUCAGGUAUUGACGGUAUUUAACCAGAAAGCCACGGCUAACUACGUGCCAGCAGCCGCGGUAAUACGUAGGUGGCAAGCGUUGUCCGGAUUUAUUGGGCGUAAAGCGAGCGCAGGCGGUUUUUUAAGUCUGAUGUGAAAGCCUUCGGCUCAACCGAAGAAGUGCAUCGGAAACUGGGAAACUUGAGUGCAGAAGAGGACAGUGGAACUCCAUGUGUAGCGGUGAAAUGCGUAGAUAU
rnacentral:rRNA from 4 species